UGCCCCUAAAUUUCUCUGUGUCAUCAACAAAUCCUCCCCAUGUCAGUAGAACAAUUUGAAACUUGAACUAAUUCUCAAAGCUGAAACACAAAGAAACCCGAUCGAGAACCAAAAGUAAAGAAUCUCUCUCACUUUUGAUCAUUUUGCCCUAACCCCAUCUCAGGAAAUUCCUAAUUUCGAACCUAGUUUCAAAAAACACAACUUUCCCUGAUAAUAAUCUCCUCCCUCCUCCAUCAUCGCCUAUUAGUCUCUUUCCCCGCGUUUGGUUCCCAAGAAAGCCCAGGAAAAUAAAUCCAAAUGAGCUCCCAUUUCCUCCCCUCCACUUUCCCAUGGUUUCUUCCCAACCAAACACACUAUUUCUGAGCUUCAACACUUCUUUUUUUCUCGACGCUUCAAUUGGGUUUUGAUAUGAGAAGAGCGAAAGUUGGCACUUAUUGCCCUUCCCCUGCUCCCACAUUGGUGGUUCUCGUUGUACUAUUGGUGGGUUCGGUGCAGUUCGUAUAGUGCCAUAACGUAGAUGACUACAGCGAGUUUGAUAAUCCCAAGCUUCUUCCAUUGUUCACACAGUUUGGUUAUGGUAAGAUUUCCAAUAUGACUACAAUGCUGAGUGCGGAGUUUCAAAAGCGCUCCAAUUUCUGCGUUAAGGAUCCGGACGCUGAUUGGAACCAGGCUUUUAAUCUUUCAUUUAAUUUGGACUUCUUGGCUUCUUGCAUCCAGAAAACUAAAGGUAUGAGUAGUUUUUACAAGUUACAUUUGAGCUUGUUUGGAUACCUAGAAAAUCCGAGUAAAAUAGGAAAAAAUAGCUUUCACGGGGAAAAAAAACAUUUGGAAUCAAUCAAUUCUAAUUAAACUAGUUGGUUACCUGAAUUGAGUUUCUCAUUCUUUUUUUAAUUCUUUAGAAGGAAGACAAAAUGGAAUUUGAAACUCAAAUCUUAAUGGCUUUUCUUCACCAACUAAAAUGGAGGGUAACUAGAAAUACCUGUUGUGUUUCUUGGUCAGAAACUUCAUAUUUGAGUGCACUGUUAUAAUAUUGGGAAGAAUUAUAGGAGCAUUAUUAAUGUGAUUCGGCUACUGAGACUUCAUAGGAAGGUGGUUUGGACCGGGUAGGUGUGUAUUCCAGUUUUUUUUUUCUCACUUGUCCUGGUGAAUUCUUAGCAAUGAGACUAGGAUUUAAGCUCAAAAGGUUAUACUUAUCCAUUGUUUCUAACUCUUUUAACUUGUUAUGAUUGAUGAGGAAGAUGAUAGUUUCUUUCCGACCCAUGAUUGGAAAGUUUCUCUUUGAGGCACCAUCAUGCUCUUUCCUUGGCAUCUCUUUCUGUAAGGAUCUGUUUUGGCCCAAAGGGCAGUAAGCAAUAAAGAAGGAUCUUGUAAAAUAUCAGACAGAGAAAACCGAGUGCCAGCAUUUUCUGUUGUUUUUCUUUCA